ensembl:rRNA 5S_rRNA 5S ribosomal RNA
GCUUACGGCCAUACCACCUGAAUGCGCCCGAUCUCGUCUGAUCUCGGAAGCUAAGCAGGGUCAGGCCUGGUUAGUACUUGGAUGGGAGACCGCCUGGGAAUACCAGGUGCUGUAAGCU